AUUGAACGCUGGCGGCGCGCUUAACACAUGCAAGUCGUGCGGUACCGAUGGCAAGUCUUCUUGACGAGCCUUCGGUAUAGCGGCGGACGGGUGAGUAACACGUGAGUAGCUGUCCUAGGGAGGGGGAUAACGCCUGGAAACGGGUGCUAAAAACCCCAUAAGCCUCGAAAGAGGUAAAAGUGCAUCACUGCAGUCCUAGGGUGUGCUCGCGGCCUAUCAGCUAGUUGGUGAGGUAAGGGCUCACCAAGGCCAAGACGGGUAGCCGGCCUGAGAGGGUGUACGGCCACACUGGAAUUGAGAUACGGCCCAGACUCCUACGGGAGGCAGCAGUUGGGAAUCUUAGGCAAUGGACGAAAGUCUGACCUAGCGACGCCGCGUGAGGGAAGAAGGCCUCGGGUUGUAAACCUCUGUCAUGGGGAGAAGUAAGUAGACGGUACCCGAACGAGGAAGCCCUGCUAACUACGUGCAGCAGCGCGGUAAAGAGUAGUAGA
rnacentral:rRNA from 1 species